CGGGUGAGUAAUACAUAAGUAACCUGCCCUAGACAGGGGGAUAACUAUUGGAAACGAUAGCUAAGACCGCAUAGGUACGGACACUGCAUGGUGACCGUAUUAAAAGUGCCUCAAAGCACUGGUAGAGGAUGGACUUAUGGCGCAUUAGCUGGUUGGCGGGGUAACGGCCCACCAAGGCGACGAUCAGUAGCCGGCCUGAGAGGGUGAACGGCCACAUUGGGACUGAGACACGGCCCAA
rnacentral:rRNA from 1 species